rnacentral:rRNA from 1 species
UGCUGUGAGCUCGAUGAGUAGGGCGGGACACGUGGUAUCCUGUCUGAAUAUGGGGGGACCAUCCUCCAAGGCUAAAUACUCCUGACUGACCGAUAGUGAACCAGUACCGUGAGGGAAAGGCGAAAAGAACCCCGGCGAGGGGAGUGAAAAAGAACCUGAAACCGUGUACGUACAAGCAGUGGGAGCACCCUUUGGGGUGUGACUGCGUACCUUUUGUAUAAUGGGUCAGCGACUUAUAUUCUGUAGCAAGGUUAACCGAAUAGGGGAGCCGGAGGGAAACCGAGUCUUAAUUGGGCGUUAAGUUGCAGGGUAUAGACCCGAAACCCGGUGAUCUAGCCAUGGGCAGGUUGAAGGUUGGGUAACACUAACUGGAGGACCGAACCGACUAAUGUUGAAAAAUUAGCGGAUGACCUGUGGCUGGGGGUGAAAGGCCAAUCAAACCGGGAGAUAGCUGGUUCUCCCCGAAAGCUAUUUAGGUAGCGCCUCGUGAAUUCAUCUCCGGGGGUAGAGCACUGUUUCGGCUAGGGGGCCAUCCCGGCUUACCAACCCGAUGCAAACUGCGAAUACCGGAGAAUGUUAUCACGGGAGACACACGGCGGGUGCUAACGUCCGUCGUGAAGAGGGAAACAACCCAGACCGCCAGCUAAGGUCCCAAAGUCAUGGUUAAGUGGGAAACGAUGUGGGAAGGCCCAGACAGCCAGGAUGUUGGCUUAGAAGCAGCCAUCAUUUAAAGAAAGCGUAAUAGCUCACUGGUCGAGUCGGCCUGCGCGGAAGAUGUAACGGGGCUAAACCAUGCACCGAAGCUGCGGCAGCGACACUGUGUGUUGUUGGGUAGGGGAGCGUUCUGUAAGCCUGUGAAGGUGUGUCGUGAGGCAUGCUGGAGGUAUCAGAAGUGCGAAUGCUGACAUAAGUAACGAUAAAGCGGGUGAAAAGCCCGCUCGCCGGAAGACCAAGGGUUCCUGUCCAACGUUAAUCGGGGCAGGGUGAGUCGACCCCUAAGGCGAGGCCGAAAGGCGUAGUCGAUGGGAAACGGGUUAAUAUUCCCGUACUUGGUGUUACUGCGAAGGGGGGACGGAGAAGGCUAUGUUGGCCGGGCGACGGUUGUCCCGGUUUAAGCGUGUAGGUGUGUGUUCCAGGUAAAUCCGGUUCACUUUAACACUGAGGCGUGACGACGAGGCACUACGGUGCUGAAGCAACAAAUGCCCUGCUUCCAGGAAAAGCCUCUAAGCAUCAGGUAACAUCAAAUCGUACCCCAAACCGACACAGGUGGUCAGGUAGAGAAUACCAAGGCGCUUGAGAGAACUCGGGUGAAGGAACUAGGCAAAAUGGUGCCGUAACUUCGGGAGAAGGCACGCUGACACGUAGGUGAAGUGAUUUACUCAUGGAGCUGAAGUCAGUCGAAGAUACCAGCUGGCUGCAACUGUUUAUUAAAAACACAGCACUGUGCAAACACGAAAGUGGACGUAUACGGUGUGACGCCUGCCCGGUGCCGGAAGGUUAAUUGAUGGGGUCAGCGCAAGCGAAGCUCCUGAUCGAAGCCCCGGUAAACGGCGGCCGUAACUAUAACGGUCCUAAGGUAGCGAAAUUCCUUGUCGGGUAAGUUCCGACCUGCACGAAUGGCGUAAUGAUGGCCAGGCUGUCUCCACCCGAGACUCAGUGAAAUUGAACUCGCUGUGAAGAUGCAGUGUACCCGCGGCAAGACGGAAAGACCCCGUGAACCUUUACUAUAGCUUGACACUGAACAUUGAGCCUUGAUGUGUAG